UACUAACGCUGGCGGCGUGCCUAAUACAUGCAAGUCGAACGCUGAAGAGGGGAGCUUGCUCUUCUUGGAUGAGUUGCGAACGGGUGAGUAACGCGUAGGUAACCUGCCUUGUAGCGGGGGAUAACUAUUGGAAACGAUAGCUAAUACCGCAUAACAAUGGAUGACACAUGUCAUUUAUUUGAAAGGGGCAAUUGCUCCACUACAAGAUGGACCUGCGUUGUAUUAGCUAGUAGGUGAGGUAAUGGCUCACCUAGGCGACGAUACAUAGCCGACCUGAGAGGGUGAUCGGCCACACUGGGACUGAGACACGGCCCAGACUCCUACGGGAGGCAGCAGUAGGGAAUCUUCGGCAAUGGGGGCAACACUGACCGAGCAACGCCGCGUGAGUGAAGAAGGUUUUCGGAUCGUAAAGCUCUGUUGUAAGUCAAGAACGGGUGUGAGAGUGGAAAGUUCACACUGUGACGGUAGCUUACCAGAAAGGGACGGCUAACUACGUG
rnacentral:rRNA from 1 species